UACGAAGGGGGCUAGCGUUGCUCGGAAUCACUGGGCGUAAAGCGCACGUAGGCGUAUUGUUAAGUCAGGGGUGAAAUCCUGGAGCUCAACUCCAGAACUGCCUUUGAUACUGGCGAUCUCGAGUCCGGGAGAGGUGAGUGGAACUGCGAGUGUAGAGGUGAAAUUCGUAGAUAUUCGCAAGAACACCAGUGGCGAAGGCGGCUCACUGGCCCGGUACUGACGCUGAGGUGCGAAAGCGUGGGGAGCAAACAGG
rnacentral:rRNA from 1 species